UUAAAUGCAAAGGGUUAAAAGCGAGAGCUGUGAGGUGAAAGUGGACAAUAGACUAAAUGCUACAUGUGCUCAGGGCAACACAUCAAACUAAUUUAACAGAGCAUGCCUCUGUGAUGUAGAGGUCAGAUCCGGAGAGUUGCGCGUCCCGAAGCCCACAAUGCUUUUUUUUUUUUUUUUUUAAUGAAACAGGCAAUGGAAAAAAUGCCCGGCCAUUUAAAAUGCCUGACCCCGGACUUUAACACAGCACUUGUAAAUUAGCCACACAGACAGCCUUAGCCGAAAGGUCACAAGCAUGUUUUUCUGCUCCUCUUUCUUUGACAUAAUCUAAAACGGAGGGUCUGAAAUUAGCUUUAACCUCCCGAAUGACAUGUUUAUUUACAUAACUGCUAUGGACAGAGGGAGCGGCUCCACGCUAGAUCAAAAUCAACACAUUGUUUUUGCCACGUCGCGAGCAGUCGCCCAGUGACCAUCUCCGAGUGGCCCGGGGAUAUUUGUUGUCAGGACGAGAGCUCGGCAAAGGGCUUCAAAUAAUCUAAUCUGGUGCAUCUAAGUGUGUUCUGCCCUAACGCGCCUCUGACCCCAUUCUGUUCUCAUGGAUCCUGGCGGUGGGGGCCGAGGAGGGCUCAUGCGUGGCGUGCUAAUCCGCCAAGUCAAUAGUGGCAGCGAGCGCUUGCGAAUAAACCGGUGCCGCGGUGGUGGCACUAUCACGACUUGGCUUGACUCUAAUGCCAGUGUCUCCUCAGGGGAAGGACUUUAUUUCAGCGUCGUUAAGGGAGGGCUUCGGAAAAACAUUAGCGUCAAAGCGCGUGAGCUUUUAUGGAACAGCACUGAGGAAGAGCACAAGGAGAAAACCUGUCACAGCAGUUCUGGUCUCUGCGAUUGCAUGAGGGCGACCUGCGGUUUUAACUCUGUCAAGGCAAGAGUCUGGAGGUUUCCUGCAUCCUUCUGCCUUUUGAUAGCACAUUUGAAAUGCAAGAAUAAAUGCGUCAGCUUGGCACACGAUCCGUGUCCACUGGGCCUUUGCGAGAUGACCUUUGCCUGGUGAAUGUCGGACUGAGUUUUUAAGCAUUAUACACAUUAAUUUGAGAGAUUAUUCAUAUUAGUGCAUGUGCACAAGGUUUUGACUUAUUUUUUUGUUUCCUUGAGGAUGUCAAAGACCUUUUUGCUGGGCAUGUACCUUUUUUUUUUCUUUUUUUGGAGGCCUCAGUGACAGUCUUGGUUCACUGAAAUGUGCUUUUGGUACCCUAUUUCUUUAAUAUUUUUAUUUUCCAUUGUAUUAUUAUUAUUAUUAUUAUGUUUUUUAAGUUAGUAUUUUAAAAUUUACUGGUCAACAAAUAUUUUUUUUUUUUAAAUGUGUGAAUGUAUAAUUAAAUAUGUAUUAAGAUUUAUGAGAAUUAUAUAGUAUUUGAUUUAUUAAGAUAUUUAUAUAAAGUUUUUCCAAGCAUAUAUAUAUGUGUCACAUUCAGCAUCCACUUAGCUUACUAAUUCAAGAAGGCACAUGGCACAGUUUGGUGGGUAUACUGUGUGUGUGUGUGUGUGUGUGUGUGUGUGAGACCUCCUGUGCAUGCGUUUUUUUUGUUGUUUUUUUUCAUACAUGUAAAAGGCUUGCAUUUUUGAGUGAUUGAUUAGAUGAGUGAGUAAUGUGUGUGUGAGUGUGUGUUUAACAGUUAACGCGGCAGGGAGUGGACAGAAGGGCCAAGUGUGACAGGUGGACAGGCAUGAUAAGGAGAGAGCGGUGCAGCCCAGCGCUCAGCAGAAGCAGACCCCAGGAGAAUAUCCAGCCAAAAGCAGCUAAUAGCUGAUACUCAUCAGAGAUAGAGCCACUGAAGAUUUCCUUUCUCUGUGGAAUAGUCCGUUCAUUCAGCUCCAGCCCAAAUUCUCCUCCCUAAAAAUGUGAAAAGAUGUUGUUAAUCAAGUUUUAUACAACAGAACAGUUAAUGUUGGGACUGAAGGACUGUGCCAUGAUACGACGUAUAUCAAGGCUUUCUGCUUUACAGAUUUCACAUCAGUGUCUCAAUGCAAACUCAGCAAUGUUGUAACUCCAAGAAGAAGGCAUGGGACACGAGCAACCCACUAAAUGUGUGUUUACACUGCUGAGCCCACACUUAUAAUUUUGUGAAUUCAAGCGGCAGCCCUAUGUGAGACCAUUUCAUGAAACUAAGAAAUUUUCAGGGACGAAAAGGAAAAUUCAGAGGGAACGAGAAUAAUAAAUGCAAAUUAUGAAUCCGUUUACCAAACACCGGCAAGAGGAAGUUCACAGUCUCCAAGGCACCAAAUUACGCCAUUGAUCCGAACCCAAAAUGGCUCCAUGUCUGGCAUUUUCAGAGGCCGUUUCCAAGUCAAUGUCAUCCUAUCUGCCUUAAACUAAAAGAGACAAAUACGACUGGAAUAAGGUAAAGAUGGAGUGGUUGUCUUGCUGUUGUGCUGGUAUCAGACAUGGGCUCUUCAUCAGAUGACUAAUGGAGUUGUGCAGCUAACCAGGAGGCCCAAGGCUGUUUGUUAGCUCCUAACAAGGUGAACCAGCUCCUACGGAACAGCACACUAGCGCUGAAGGAUUUAUUAUAGAUCUGCGUGUCCGCGGGCCAUGAACAGUAUAGCGCCGGUCUCAUUGUAGUGGGUCCACCACACUAGCAGAGGGUUUAGAUCAUUAUUGCCUCAUUGUUUUGAUACAAUUUUGCAGAGCGGAUGAUGGAUGGAUGGAUAAUCGGAUGAGUAAAGGAGUUUUGGUAGCCUAGCACAUGAGGGUAAUGGAUGGACUGCAAAAACACACGAAAAUGAUAAGGAAAAGUGAGUUUUGAACAUGUUUUAUGAUGGAAUUUGGAAAAACAUUUUCAGUCUUUACACAUUUAGAUAGUUGACAUUGUUGAGUAGUGAUGUAGUAUGUUAUAAUUCACCUAAAGUUAUAUUA